AGGAACAAUGGAAUGUUGGAUUCCUUUUCUUGUCCAGGUUCUGUACAGUGAGUGGAAGUCACAGGUAAGGAACAGUGAGGAAAAUAACCUGUAGGUUUCACAGGAAUGAUCUACCAAGAACCACUGCAUGUACCACUGUGGUAGAAGUUAAGGAGUCUUCAUAGGAUGCUGGAUGAAGGCUGGAUACUUCUAUAUCAGCAGAAUGCUUUGUUUUAUGGCCUCUUGAUGCUGGAAUCAGCUCCACUUUCCCAAAGAAGAGGAAGAAAAUACUCCUGUCUGAAUCUGUGAUUGCCCUCUGUAGAGUUAAAUGUUCAAAGUGAAGACAACUUUUAAGAACAGAGCAAGAAAGGCAUGUAAUAACCAAAUAUAACUACCACCUUCUCUAAUAUGAGAAAGGCAGAGCCAAAAGGAUCAGUGUCCAGUCUACUUGGCUGUAUCAUCUAUGAAGGAAAGAAGCUGUUCCUGCUCAUAGUUCUUCAGGUCUAUGCAGGAUGCCAGCCGCUCCUCAGCUCUGGUGAGGGUCUCAUGGAGAACAACACAAGGAUGCGCCAGAAAUGUGUCCACGAGAGGUCACAUGGCUGACUCUGCAUUUAAGCUCACCAAGCUGUGGAGCUUUGGAGAACACCUGGUUAUAAAGAGCAGAGAGGAAGUGUGGAAAGCUACAGAGAACUCGAGCCUGUCCACCACAGCUGUAGCCGGAGCCAGAGGUAACCUUGCAGGUGUCCAGAUGGGAGGGCGAGCAGAACCACUCAACACUCAGGUGGACGUCCAUACUCAGUGGUGGAUCCAGGAACUUCAGAACAGGUAAGUGACUUUGAGAGCCCCUGCAGUAGUUUGGACAUGGUUGAAAAGUAAACAGAUGCAGCUGUCCAAAACAGAAGAAAAGAGAUUCUCCUCUGACAAUUGUUAGAUGUCAUCUCUUGGAUGUCUUCAUCCCUGGAAAAAGUAAUAGUCUAUAAGAAACUACUCGAUCUCAGCUCAUCUAAUCAGAUAGAAGCCAAACUACACUGAGGAGCCAUUCUCUCACCUCAUCAAUCUUGCACAAGAAUGAUUUAAUUGUCUCCUCAAUGUAUGUCAUUCUAUAGGAUAUUCACUGUGAAAAUAUACUGUCUCCUGAAGAUAAAGCG
rnacentral:lncRNA from 1 species